UCUGGCUCAGGAUGAACGCUAGCGGCAGGCUUAACACAUGCAAGUCGAGGGGUAACAUGUAGCUUGCUACAGAUGACGACCGGCGCACGGGUGCGUAACGCGUAUAGAACUUACCUUUUACAGAGGGAUAGCCUUUAGAAAUGAAGAUUAAUACCUCAUAGUAUUAUUGAUUGGCAUCAAUUAAUAAUUAAAGAUUUAUCGGUAAAAGAUGGCUAUGCGUCCUAUUAGCUAGAUGGUAAGGUAAUGGCUUACCAUGGCUACGAUAGGUAGGGGCCCUGAGAGGGGGAUCCCCCACACUGGUACUGAGACACGGACCAGACUCCUACGGGAGGCAGCAGUGAGGAAUAUUGGGCAAUGGAGGUAACUCUGACCCAGCCAUGCCGCGUGCAGGAAGACUGCCCUAUGGGUUGUAAACUGCUUUUAUACAGGAAGAAACACUCGUACGUGUACGAGCAUGACGGUACUGUAAGAAUAAGGACCGGCUAACUCCGUGCCAGCAGCCGCGGUAAUACGGAGGGUCCGAGCGUUAUCCGGAAUCAUUGGGUUUAAAGGGUCCGCAGGCGGUCAAUUAAGUCAGAGGUGAAAUCCCAUAGCUUAACUAUGGAACUGCCUUUGAUACUGGUUGACUUGAGUCAUAUGGAAGUAGAUAGAAUGUGUAGUGUAGCGGUGAAAUGCAUAGAUAUUACACAGAAUACCGAUUGCGAAGGCAGUCUACUACGUAUGUACUGACGCUCAUGGACGAAAGCGUGGGGAGCGAACAGGAUUAGAUACCCUGGUAGU
rnacentral:rRNA from 1 species